UGAUCCUGGCUCAGAUUGAACGCUGGCGGCAGGCCUAACACAUGCAAGUCGAGCGGUAGCGGGAAGACUUGCUCUUUGCCGACGAGCGGCGGACGGGUGCGUAACACGUAGGAAUCUGCCCGGUAGUGGGGGAUAGCCCGGAGAAAUCCGGAUUAAUACCGCAUACGCCCUAAGGGGGAAAGCAGGGGAUCUUCGGACCUUGCGCUAUCGGAUGAGCCUGCGUCGGAUUAGCUUGUUGGUGGGGUAAAAGGCCUACCAAGGCGACGAUCCGUAGCUGGUCUGAGAGGAUGAUCAGCCACACUGGGACUGAGACACGGCCCAGACUCCUACGGGAGGCAGCAGAGA
rnacentral:rRNA from 1 species